AGGAUGAAUCCUUUUAAAAAUGACAAAAACAGUACCUGUUUAUAAUUUAAUCAAUAGUAUUUUAAUUAUUUUAUGUAUAGAGAGAUUGAGUUGCAGUAAAACAUUAAGUAGUAAUCAUUCCUGAAAAUGACCUAAAGCAAAGGAGAACAUGUGUAAUUACAAAUGACGUGUUUGUUAGCCAUUAAAGGACGACUGUAAAAAGUACAAGAACGAUCAGAAUUCAUCAAAGGUUUUUGUUUAAUUAGAAAUAUUCUUUUUAUUAUUAUUUUACAAGAUGAUUAAGAUGCAUGAUUCUUUUUUUCUUUGAAUAUUUAAAAGACAUUUUUUAAAAGAAGGAAUGAAGCAGUUUCUAGGUUUUCAGAUAUUAUGGAGACAUUUUCAUUCCUCUAAAAACGGGAAUGUAAGAUAUGAUUUGACUUUUGUUUUUAUGUUUUUACUUUGAUGUGAAAAUCUCAUCAAACAGAAAUGACAUGAAACUGUAAGUUGUUUGCUUUUCUAAAAAAAAAGUUGAUCAAGGUGCAAAAUGAGUUCUGAGAAGUAUAUUCUUCAUUCAUCCAAAGAUGUGUAUUUUUAAUACAAUAUGCAUGAAAUGUUCUUCUCACAGUUUAAAGAGCAAAUAAAGAUGUAGGAUGUUAAGCUGAGGCUUGUUGACAGACGUGUACAUAGUUUAAUUCAUUCAGAAUAAGAAAUGGCAGCCAUAAUUGGUUGUAAUUUUAAUUUUCACUUUUUUUUCUAUAAUACAGAUCUCAUUAAAAUGCAUCAUAACAGGCAACACAAGUUUUGAUUAAAGUUGUAUAUAAAUAUCUCUGUAAUUGUAUUUUUUGUAAACUAUCUUAUGAGGGGUUUUGAAAGAAUUUUUCAAUAGAUUAAGAAUUAGUUAUAAGGUGGAUGUCCUGACAUUGAAUUAAUGAAGUGUUGAUUAUGAAAAUGCAUGAAACUUGUAUUUGAGACUUGUUGAGUUACACGAAAAGGGAAAGAGUUGUGAGAAGUUGACAUUAUGUAAAAAAGAAAGAAUGGAUUUUUUUUUUAUUGUUAACCAUUUAGCUAUUUGUUGUCCAACUCAUCUGAAAAUCAUUUUUACACAAACAUUUUCAUCGUACUAUUUUGUAUGUUUUUUUCUUCAAUAAUUUGAUGAACAAUGCUUCAUCUUUCUGAAUUUCUUGGAGUAUUCAACUAUUUUUAUACUUAUUACUUAUAUUAUCUCUUUUUAAAUGAUCUUAUUACAGUUACUUUUUACUACUGCCAAUAUUGGAAUUAGUUUUGUUGUUUGAUUUAUUAGACUCUUGUCAUUGCUACAGUAUAUUGAUAUUCAUAAUUACUAACAGAAAUAUCAGUCUUUAUGGAAAAAAAUGGGAUAUUUUCUUUUUCUGUAAUAAAUCAGUCAAUGGAG